UUCUCUCUGUAGCAAACAAAGAAAAAAGACAAGCCGCGACCCCAGGGAACAGGAGGCCUUGGGCUCCUCCCUCCUCCCCCAGGAGGCAAGAUUGCCCCACCCCCAUCAACUGUCCUGUCCAAUCACGUCACAGAAACCACGGGUUCUGGUCACACCCACACAGGGGGAGGGGACACAGGGCGUCUGCUGGACCUGGACGGCUCUUCCUCCAUCCCCACGCAGUCCCUCUCGAACCCGGGCGCCGACCUGUGGGGGGAGUUCUCCUCUCCAGCCAGCUCGGUCUCCACCACAAACCCGGAGUCUUCAUCUGGAAACUGGGUGCAGUUUUGAGCUCGGCCCUGCUCCUUUCUCUCGGUCUCCUUUUCUCUCCUGUCCAGUCAUGCCUGCCCAUGUCUCUCCCCUGUUGCUCUUUCAUUCCUAUAGACUGCUAAAACACUGACUUGAUCACUAAUGAUCUCUCUGCUCUGCUUCCCUCCUCUGUCUCCUCUCUCUCUGUGUGUCUCCUGUCCUGUUGUUGUGUCUUUAUUGCUGAG